UCAAGUGAAUAAGUGCAUCAGGCGGAUGCCUUGGCGAUGAUAGGCGACGAAGGACGUGUAAGCCUGCGAAAAGCGCGGGGGAGCUGGCAAUAAAGCUAUGAUUCCGCGAUGUCCGAAUGGGGAAACCCACUGCAUUCUGUGCAGUAUCCUAAGUUGAAUACAUAGGCUUAGAGAAGCGAACCCGGAGAACUGAACCAUCUAAGUACCCGGAGGAAAAGAAAUCAACCGAGAUUCCGCAAGUAGUGGCGAGCGAACGCGGAGGAGCCUGUACGUAAUAACUGUCGAGAUAGAAGAACAAGCUGGGAAGCUUGACCAUAGCGGGUGACAGUCCCGUAUUCGAAAUCUCAACAGCGGUACUAAGCGUACGAAAAGUAGGGCGGGACACGUGAAAUCCUGUCUGAAUAUGGGGGGACCAUCCUCCAAGGCUAAAUACUCAUCAUCGACCGAUAGUGAACCAGUACCGUGAGGGAAAGGCGAAAAGAACCCCGGGAGGGGAGUGAAACAGAACCUGAAACCUGAUGCAUACAAACAGUGGGAGCGCCCUAGUGGUGUGACUGCGUACCUUUUGUAUAAUGGGUCAACGACUUACAUUCAGUAGCGAGCUUAACCGGAUAGGGGAGGCGUAGGGAAACCGAGUCUUAAUAGGGCGAUGAGUUGCUGGGUGCAGACCCGAAACCGAGUGAUCUAUCCAUGGCCAGGUUGAAGGUGCCGUAACAGGUACUGGAGGACCGAACCCACGCAUGUUGCAAAAUGCGGGGAUGAGCUGUGGGUAGGGGUGAAAGGCUAAACAAACUCGGAGAUAGCUGGUUCUCCCCGAAAACUAUUUAGGUAGUGCCUCGAGCAAGACACUGAUGGGGGUAAAGCACUGUUAUGGCUAGGGGGUUAUUGCAACUUACCAACCCAUGGCAAACUCAGAAUACCAUCAAGUGGUUCCUCGGGAGACAGACAGCGGGUGCUAACGUCCGUUGUCAAGAGGGAAACAACCCAGACCGCCGGCUAAGGUCCCAAAUGAUAGAUUAAGUGGUAAACGAAGUGGGAAGGCACAGACAGCCAGGAUGUUGGCUUAGAAGCAGCCAUCAUUUAAAGAAAGCGUAAUAGCUCACUGGUCGAGUCGUCCUGCGCGGAAGAUGUAACGGGGCUCAAAUCUAUAACCGAAGCUGCGGAUGCCGGUUUACCGGCAUGGUAGGGGAGCGUUCUGUAGGCUGAUGAAGGUGCAUUGUAAAGUGUGCUGGAGGUAUCAGAAGUGCGAAUGUUGACAUGAGUAGCGAUAAAGCGGGUGAAAAGCCCGCUCGCCGAAAGCCCAAGGUUUCCUACGCAACGUUCAUCGGCGUAGGGUGAGUCGGCCCCUAAGGCGAGGCAGAAAUGCGUAGUCGAUGGGAAACAGGUUAAUAUUCCUGUACUUGAUUCAAAUGCGAUGUGGGGACGGAGAAGGUUAGGUUGGCAAGCUGUUGGAAUAGCUUGUUUAAGCCGGUAGGUGGAAGACUUAGGCAAAUCCGGGUUUUCUUAACACCGAGAAGUGAUGACGAGUGUCUACGGACACGAAGCAACCGAUACCACGCUUCCAGGAAAAGCCACUAAGCUUCAGUUUGAAUCGAACCGUACCGCAAACCGACACAGGUGGGUAGGAUGAGAAUUCUAAGGCGCUUGAGAGAACUCGGGAGAAGGAACUCGGCAAAUUGAUACCGUAACUUCGGGAGAAGGUAUGCCCUCUAAGGUUAAGGACUUGCUCCGUAAGCCCCGGAGGGUCGCAGAGAAUAGGUGGCUGCGACUGUUUAUUAAAAACACAGCACUCUGCCAACACGAAAGUGGACGUAUAGGGUGUGACGCCUGCCCGGUGCCGGAAGGUUAAUUGAAGAUGUGCAAGCAUCGGAUCGAAGCCCCGGUAAACGGCGGCCGUAACUAUAACGGUCCUAAGGUAGCGAAAUUCCUUGUCGGGUAAGUUCCGACCCGCACGAAUGGCGUAACGAUGGCCACACUGUCUCCUCCCGAGACUCAGCGAAGUUGAAGUGGUUGUGAAGAUGCAAUCUACCCGCUGCUAGACGGAAAGACCCCGUGAACCUUUACUGUAGCUUUGCAUUGGACUUUGAAGUCACUUGUGUAGGAUAGGUGGGAGGCUUGGAAGCAGAGACGCCAGUCUCUGUGGAGUCGUCCUUGAAAUACCACCCUGGUGUCUUUGAGGUUCUAACCCAGACCCGUCAUCCGGGUCGGGGACCGUGCAUGGUAGGCAGUUUGACUGGGGCGGUCUCCUCCCAAAGCGUAACGGAGGAGUUCGAAGGUUACCUAGGUCCGGUCGGAAAUCGGACUGAUAGUGCAAUGGCAAAAGGUAGCUUAACUGCGAGACCGACAAGUCGGGCAGGUGCGAAAGCAGGACAUAGUGAUCCGGUGGUUCUGUAUGGAAGGGCCAUCGCUCAACGGAUAAAAGGUACUCCGGGGAUAACAGGCUGAUUCCGCCCAAGAGUUCAUAUCGACGGCGGAGUUUGGCACCUCGAUGUCGGCUCAUCACAUCCUGGGGCUGUAGUCGGUCCCAAGGGUAUGGCUGUUCGCCAUUUAAAGUGGUACGUGAGCUGGGUUUAAAACGUCGUGAGACAGUUUGGUCCCUAUCUGCAGUGGGCGUUGGAAGUUUGACGGGGGCUGCUCCUAGUACGAGAGGACCGGAGUGGACGAACCUCUGGUGUACCGGUUGUAACGCCAGUUGCAUAGCCGGGUAGCUAAGUUCGGAAGAGAUAAGCGCUGAAAGCAUCUAAGCGCGAAACUCGCCUGAAGAUGAGACUUCCCUUGCGGUUUAACCGCACUAAAGGGUCGUUCGAGACCAGGACGUUGAUAGGUGGGGUGUGGAAGCGCGGUAACGCGUGAAGCUAACCCAUACUAAUUGCCCGUGAGGCUUGACUCU
rnacentral:rRNA from 1 species